GGAGAACUUUUUCUCCGGGAAUUAUUAUUCUCAAGUCAAUCUUGAAAUUUAACCCUCGCAUCAUUAUUAUUAUUAUUACUCUGGAUAUUUAGAUGACGAUCAGUUUCUUUAUUUCUUACAACUUUUAUUAAUUUACAUAUCAUGCCUGAACCUCAGGGGACUCAAAGAUGUGGAAACACUGUUUGCCGAGUUGAGAACCCGGUUGCCGUGGCGACGUGAGGUCCUGGAACCAGGAGGUCGGCGGGCGAUCGGGGAUGAACACAUGAUGAUCUGGGGACAAACAUUAAGACCUGGACCCCGAACUCCAUUUUCAACGUUGGUGCGCAGACCGGAGACCAUAUUCCACCAUGUUGCUCUUUGGUCUAUUUCAAAUGAACAACAGCCUUCAGGUUGAAAACUGCACUAAACACAGACCAUCCCAUGAUAACAACCAGGAACUACAGACACAAAACAAGUAGCGUGUUACAUCACAUCACAUUACAUCACAUCACAUCACAUUACAUCACAUUACAUUACAUUACAGCACAUUACAUUACAUUACAUUACAUCACAUCACAUCACAUCACAUUACAUCACAUUACAUCACAUCACAUCACAUCACAUCACAUUACAUCACAUCCCAUCACAUUACAUUACAUCACAUCACAUCACAUCACAUUACAUUACAUCACAUCACAUUACAUCACAUUACAUUUCAUCACAUUACAUCACAUCACAUCACAUCACAUUACAUUACAUUACAUCACAUUACAUCACAUCACAUUACAUUGAGCUUGAACACAAGAUAUUAGAAAUAAGUGAUAAAACCACGAAUGCAUUCAAUGAUUGAGGAAGAUAAAGGUGGAAAUGGCUCAUUUCGGCCCGUCGUGUUCGCUCAGCUGUCCGCAGCCCGCCGGCCCCUGUAAUCGGGUUAAAGGACCCAGGACCUCUGUGCCGCCCCCCAUCCGGUUGAUAUCUGCCUGCUCUCUUUUGUUUUUACCUGGUUUUAGUUUUCCCCUUUCUGCGAUUGAUGAAAAACGUUUGGGUUAAAACAACCACUGAACUAAUGACACAGCAGGAGGAAACAUCUCUGUUAGUUGAACAUUUUGUAAUUUGUAUUUCUUCAUUCCUUGAAAUAUUUUCAAUGUAUAGAAACAUAUUCCUAUUAAUUCAGAUGAUUUAACUGGUUUGGAGACUAAUGGUUUGGAGACAAGUUGUGCCUUUGAAAACACAAGAUGAAUAAAGAGUUCUAACUAUU
ensembl:lncRNA